UGCAAGUCGAACGGGACCAGGGGCAACUCUGGUUCAGUGGCGGACGGGUGCGUAACACGUGAGGAACAUGACCUUCGGCGGGGGAUAGCCGGCCCAACGGCCGGGUAAUACCGCGUACGACCACUCUGGGACAUCCCUAGGUGGUGAAAGCAGCAAUGCGCCGAUGGAGUGCCUCGCGGCCUAUCAGCUAGUUGGUGAGGUAAUGGCUCACCAAGGCGACGACGGGUAGCUGGUCUGAGAGGAUGGCCAGCCACAUUGGGACUGAGACACGGCCCAGACUCCUACGGGAGGCAGCAGUGGGGAAUAUUGCGCAAUGGACGAAAGUCUGACGCAGCGACGCCGCGUGUGGGAUGACGGUCUUCGGAUUGUAAACCACUGUCGGGAGGGACGAAUACGCCGCAAGGCGGGUGACGGUACCUCCAAAGGAAGCACCGGCUAACUCCGUGCCAGCAGCCGCGGUAAUACGGAGGGUGCGAGCGUUGUCCGGAAUCACUGGGCGUAAAGGGCGCGUAGGCGGCCUGAUAAGUAGGGGGUGAAAUCUUGCGGCUUAACCGCAAGGCUGCCUUCUAAACUGUCAGGCUCGAGCACAGUAGAGGCAGGUGGAAUUCCCGGUGUAGCGGUGGGAAUGCGUAGAGAUCGGGAAGAACAUCAGUGGCGAAGGCGGCCUGCUGGGCUGUUGCUGACGCUGAGGCGCGACAGCGUGGGGAGCAAACAGGAUUAGAUACCCUGGUAGUCCACGCCGUAAACGAUGGGCACUANCGUCGGGGGGAGCGACCCUCCCGGNGCGUCGCUACGCAGUAGUGCCCGCCUGGGGAGUA
rnacentral:rRNA from 1 species